GCAGCCCUGGCGCGUUCCUGUGGAUUUAACUUGUUCAUCCUGGCCAGGUCUUCUUGAGUUACACCGGACGGCACAAAAACGAGGAGGCGCAAGCGAGGAGGAAGACGGCCCCCUAGUGGUUGUAGCCGGUUGUCCAUAAAGAGCCAGACGAUGAAAUGUCUCACUGCGCCCCCCCCCCCCCUUUCGAUCUCCUGUCCGCGGCAAAACCCAAGCUACACGGCGGGCGCCGUUUAUGCUCAGUGCUGUAAAGGGAAGCCAAGCGUGGCGACGACCGUGCAAGUUUACCGUCGGGUCUCCCCUCCUGGCGCGAUCAUCUUGGGCGAUUGCCCCGAUGGUGCCCGUCGUCGUUCCUGCCUUCUCCGCGCCUUGCAAGGGAGCCUCGCGGUUGCCUUCUGCUGAGUCAGAGCCGCGCUGCUUCGAACUCGGGGGACCGUGACAGGUAUGAUUAGGCAAAGGAGGGCAAAACUUCAGCCAUCUGAGACAGCCGACUGUGAAAACCAGCAGACAAGAUAUCUGCCUUUAGGACCUGUACUAGGGAUUUCCAAAUGCCAGGUGGUGGCCCAGACUCAGGAUUAAGCUAAGUAUAUGGAUAUGGAGAUAUGUGGAACUUCUCCAAGCAUCUGGAAGCUAAUCCUUUGGGACUAUGUGAAUAUUCCUCUCUGGCUUCUUGGCUUAUAUGCCCACUGACAGAACCACAUCUUCAGGGCAAAUAGACUUGACUACUUCAAGAUACUUUCGGAAAGCCAGAAUUCACACAAAAGAAAUUUGCAAGCCUGAUUAUGAAGCACAUUUAGAGCCUUUACCCAAACUUGACUCUUGCAGUCUAAGAGUGACAGCAAUUUGAGCCUACUCUGAUCCCUCACCUGUCCUUGCCAAUCCAUUCUGGUGCUGGUGGAAGGCUUCCUGGAGGAAGGUAGCAGAGAAACACUUUGAGCAGUUUUUGUUAAGUAUUUGCCCUUGUGAGACUGGCUUCACUUGGGAAUUAGGAGUCCUCAAUAUUUAUUAUUGCAAUAUUCUACAACUUUGCGUUUUGUGUAUUCUUGACAUAGAAAUAUUUUAAAACAUUGUAAACUGCUGGCUUCCCCUCCAUGGAGGAUAGGCUGUUAUUUUAGUCCUUCCUCGUGUAAUCAGAUCAAAUCUGUUAAACUUGUUCAAAGUUUUAACAUCCAAGAAUCUACCUAAAAACCUGCGUCAUGCAUAGGAUUCAAAAUAAUGGGGUACUUUGGUAAGGUUUUUUUCGUGGGGGGGAGGAAGUGUGCCCAGUCGAUUCGGCUUCAAUCCAGAUUUGGACAUUCCUUGACAAUCUGGUCCUUUCCUCUAUUUUUGUAAAGCGGGGGGGGGGGGGGGGGUUACUGAAGGAGACAGGUGUAAUUGGUCAGAUUUCAGGGGCUGGUAGCACUUCAAUGCUCCUUGCAGGGCCACUGGGAACUCGCAUGAUAUCCUCUGCAGUGGUUUCUUCCUUCUGCAGUUUGGCAUAUUGUUCAGGUUAUGGCCUGUUUUGGCUCACUGAGUUCAGUGGUUUUUAUAAAAAUAUUAUGAAAUGGACUGCUGUUUCCUCCAGAAAAUCCCCUAAUUCACUUGAUUCUUUUUUCAUGGAAGACCUACUAAUACUGGAUAUUUUAGCCUUCCUUAGCCAACUUCUUGUUUUAUUAAUAUUAUUAUUGGCAACCCUCCCUUUGACUUAAUUAUUUAGAUAUAUUGAUAAUUUCACCCAUACAAUCUCUUUUCUGUGUUGCCUUAUAUAUUUCUGUGAAAACCAUCACCAUUGUGUUUAUGUUGGUGCUUAAUCUCCCAGGAAGAGUUUUAUCCUCACCUUACAGCUUCAUGUGAAUUGGAAUAAACAUUCAAAUGAUUCAGA